CUACGGGAGGCAGCAGUGGGGAAUAUUGCGCAAUGGGCGAAAGCCUGACGCAGCCAUGCCGCGUGUGUGAAGAAGGCCUUAGGGUUGUAAAGCACUUUCAAUUGGGAAGAAAAGCUCAUCGUUAAUAGCGGUGAGCCCUGACAUUACCUUUAGAAGAAGCACCGGCUAACUCCGUGCCAGCAGCCGCGGUAAUACGGAGGGUGCGAGCGUUAAUCGGAAUUACUGGGCGUAAAGCGCGCGUAGGCGGUUAGUUAAGUCGGAUGUGAAAGCCCUGGGCUCAACCUGGGAACUGCAUUCGAUACUGGCCAACUAGAGUGCGAGAGAGGGAGGUAGAAUUCCACGUGUAGCGGUGAAAUGCGUAGAUAUGUGGAGGAAUACCGGUGGCGAAGGCGGCCUCCUGGCUCGACACUGACGCUGAGGUGCGAAAGCGUGGGGAGCAAACAGGAUUAGAUACCCCAGUAC
rnacentral:rRNA from 1 species